GUCCUUUUGGCUGACCGCAUGACUCCAUAUCUCGCUUCGUUGCCGUACUCGUUGUAACUUGAGCAGCACGCGCUUCACGAGCUUACGCCGGUCGCUUCGAGCGGGAGUUGUGAACUAGUUGCGAAACUAAGUUGCGUGCGCUGUGAGGAGUGCUGUUGCAGCGACAGUGCCAGGUUACGUUGCCGCCUUACGACCAAGAGAUAAUUUGCAAAAAGAUUUUGGCUCGGAGUCAUACAAUAAUUUCAACGAGUUCGCCCAAAAAAGUUGAGCCCCGCACCGCACCGGCUUGUUCGCUGACCGCCGAGCCGCUAAUCUCGCUUUUUUCGCGCCCUACCGUCGCCUGCCCAGACCCACACCGGCCGCCGCCGUCAUGCUCGCACAUCAAGCACCGCUCGCCCUCUACUAAAAUCAACCGUCAACAUCGAUACGAACGCGUGUGAUAAUAAUAUUUUAAUACUUGCCUAAAUAAGCUUGCAACGUCGGUGUCUUUAAUUCUAACAUAAAUCUAAGAUUAAUAUUUAGUAAUUAAUAUUCGUUGAACCUCGGAAUAUCGUCGUGGUUUUCCGUGUUCCUUCGCGUGUGUAGUAGUGUUUGUAUUAAAGGGUGCGCCAGCGCCGAAGUGGUCGCAGAAUCAACUCGCCGCGCGAAAGUGAGAAGUGCAUGCUCGGAGCGCGCGGGCGCGCUCGCUCCCCUCUGCAUAUGCGCCGCACUCGCUCUAAGUAAUUGUGCGCGCUACUCCUACUCCCCCCAACAAAGUGGCAACGAUGGCAACCAUGGUGAACAUGAAUAGCCUCCUGAAUGGAAAAGACUCACGUUGGCUGCAACUCGAAGUUUGCCGCGAGUUCCAACGUAAUAAGUGCUCGCGUCCCGACACCGAGUGCAAGUUCGCACAUCCUCCGGCAACCGUUGAAGUACAGAAUGGAAGGGUCACCGCUUGUUACGACAGUAUCAAGGGCCGGUGUAACCGCGAGAAGCCACCCUGCAAGUAUUUCCACCCGCCGCAGCAUCUUAAAGAUCAGCUUCUCAUUAACGGUCGGAAUCACCUAGCACUAAAGAACGCCUUAAUGCAGCAGAUGGGAUUGACGCCAGGCCAGGUGCUCCCUGGCCAAGUUCCAACCGUGGUGGGCGGCGUGAGCGGAGCGGGAGCGGCUGCGAGCCACCUCGCCGCGCUGGAUCCGAUCAGUCUCGCCCUGCUCGCUCCGCAGGCAACGUCGCCGUACUUAUCGGGUGUGCCAGGCGUAGGGUCGACGUAUGCCCAGUAUUAUGCGCCUCAGUUGGUGCCCGCGGUGCUUGGGCAUGAUCCGGCCGCAGCGGCGGCCUCGCCGCUGGGCGUCAUGCAGCAACCUGUGCUGCAGCAGAAAUUGCCGCGCACUGACCGUCUUGAGACGGCCGCCGCAUCGCAGCAGUCGGCAGCGAGCGCGACUUCGGAGCCGGGCAAGAAACGUCCGGCGCCCGCCGAGCUCGAGCCGCCACCGAUGGACAUGAAAAGCGUCGGAUCCUUCUAUUACGAUAACUUCGCCUUUCCCGGAGUGGUGCCGUAUAAGCGACCUGCCGCAGACAAAGCCGGAGUUCCCGUGUAUCAGCCGGCGACUACGUAUCAACAACUGAUGCAGCUUCAGCAGCCAUUCGUGCCCGUGUCAUGUGAGUACCCCGCGCCCGCCUCGUCCGCCCCGCCGGCCGCGGUUACGGCGGUGUCGGGUGCCACGAGUGUUUCCCAGCCCGCGCCGCCCCCACAGCCCGCGCCACCGCCCGCGCAACAAGUACAGUCCGCUCCCGUGCAGUCCGCGUCGCCGCCCGCCCCUAGCGGUGACGCUUCUGCGCCCGAUCCCGCCGCCGUGGCGAAGGAAGUCGCGCACAAGAACUAUGCAGCCGCUCUCGCGCUCGCUGCGCAGCAGUCCGCCAUGGCUCAUGCGGCUGCAGCCUACACGCAGCAAGCAUUCAAGGCCCGCGCCGCUAUGCCGGGGCUCAUGCGCGCUCCACUGAUGAUGAGGCCGGGCUGGCCCGGGCCGCCCAUGCACAUGCCUGCCUUCUACCAGCAGCCGUACAUGUACGCGAUGCCGCCGCCCACGCCGCCGUCGGCGGCCGCGGCGGCUGCGGCUGCGGCUGCCGCGGUUAAUCCCUACAAAAAAAUGAAGACGACCUAAGAGAGUGCGCGGGCGGGCCGCGGCCGGAGGGGCGCGGGGCGCGGGGUCUCCGCGUAGAGACUCGUACGUGUGCGAUCGAGUGUGGCCCCGGCCUGUCGGGGUAUUAGCGCUAGGCGUGUUGUCACAUUUGUAUUGUAUUAUUGUAAGGACGAAGCGAACGGUUUCCGUCUCGCGGAUGUCUAGGUAGUUUUACGCUAUAAUAUCUAUUCUAUUAUGUAUCUACUCACUUACCGUUUUAUCUUAUGCGUGUAUAUUUCUCGUAUCUACGAUCCCGGUAAUAAUAACGCUUGAAAUGCAUGACUGUACGUUUUUUAUUACCUCUUGUCGAUCGUCGUUUAUCGUGAGUAUCGUCGUACUGAGAGUUAAGCGCUUGGUCCGUCGAUCCCGUUUCCCGCUACGUACACGCUUGUUCUCGGAGGAGCUCCGCACGGGUGCGCUUUGGCCAUUGUGUCGACCCAGUACCUAGUGGUUACCGGCUUGCAGCAGCGAGCCCGCACCUAACACAGCCGCCUUCUAAUUUUCGCAUGGAUAGAACCCACUACCCCUAUAUACGUUUGGCUCAUCAGGUAUUAUACUCAUUAUUCUAGUGCUCCUUGUGUGUGCUAAGUGUGCCGGCGUGUUCAUCAUUAGAGCUGCGGAGCUGACGAGCGUCGCUCUCGCGUUUUCUUUUAAGUCGCACUUCUUUCUAUUUAUUUUUAACGCUUUCUGUUACAUGCCUUCCGAAUGACCGCUUCGGCUGUCGUCCGCAUUGCAAUCUUUUGUCGCUUUUUGUUUCGACCCGGACAGGCUGUGCGCCGCCCAACGCUCCCUAUGUGGAGUACACGGACGAGCGCGGACAGGUAACGAGUGCCGCGUGCCGCACGCUUGCCCGCAAACGCUACGCUAGAACGCCACCCGUAAACCCGAGCGAUUUUUGAGCAUGUCGCUUAUUAACCCUAAUUUACUCCUGAAACUGUAAAGUCAGCACUCCUGUAGGUUUUUCGGCGGCUUUUCUGCACUCCUGCUCUUUCGAUCACGGGCUCAAGUGUGUUCGCUCUAACCAAACUCGCAUAUCACCUCUACCUGCUCCUUUGCCUUAACCUUUACUUUUGUCAGUCGAAAACAUUUUACAUCAAGAAAUUCAUACAAGCCAUAUGAAAUCAGAAAUUUAUAAUUAUAUCGAACUAAUUGAUCGAAAAUCGCAAUUAACGAUAACAUAAUUCUAUUUAAUUUGCAAAUAUAUUCAACACUUCCUAUGAGCUUGCUUCGUAAGUUCGCUUCUGUAGUAACAUUUAGUUAUGCUUUAGGUGAUUAAAAGUAGACUAAGCGCUUAAUGAUAGCGAACUAAACAUCAUGCCGUCCUGUUAUUUGGGCCACUGUAACGAGGUCGAGGUACGCUUGGUAAAGCUUCGUGUCGACCUGACACAAUCGCUGUGCGAAGGACACAAAAAUACAUUGAAAGAAUCUUCCUGUAUCGCUUGGCGGCCGGUGGGAACGUGUUUUUAUUCGAAAGCUACCCUUACAUAACCGCCAAACUUUUCGUAAUAAUUAAGACACAGAGUAUUUGGAACUUUCUGUGCUAAUAAUUAACGACACAUCUGAACUGAUGGCGUAGCUUGUGAAGCAGAGCAUACGUAUGAAUGUCAUCGUCACAUCCAUCAUUUAGUCAUUGUGCUGUAACUGUAUCAGUUAUAUUGUAUUGAACAGUUGAUGCUACAACUUACCUCUUGAUGAUUUUUAGUUUUUGUAUAGUGAAACAUACUUGCUUUCAAAUGUGGAAGAAGUCACUCUACAGUAUUGCCUUGCUUACACCCGGUAAGAUAUAAUCAGCUUACUUUAAUAUCCUCAAUAUAAGUGAUUUCCUGUUUGUAGCCUAUACUGAAACACCGUGUUUAUGGUGACAUGGACCUAUACAAACUUAUUAAAUAAUAAAAGCAAUUAAUUCAAUUUGCGAUUAAUAUAACAAAAAUUUGAGAUUAAUAUAAUAAAAUUUGCACAACUGCGGUUAUUUCAGUAAAGGUAAUAUUUUAUUAAUAAAUACAUAACGAAGCCAGAUAUUUAUUUUCUACCAAUGAGUUGGCGACAUAUGUAGUAUUUGCUAGUUUGUAAUUACCUGGCUAUAAUUAAAUGUAUACCUGACUACGAUGAAGUCGAAACAACGUCAACUCAUUGACAGAAGGUCACCUCCGCCAGAGUCAACUAUCAACUGCAAAAGGGGGUUAUUUUUCACUAAUAUCAAGCUAAUUGCUUAUAAGUAAAUGUAAUUUAAUGCGUAGUUGGUAAUUGAAAUGAAGGUGGUGAGAUAAGAGGACUCAAAGUGAGGCCCUUGGUUAUUUAACAUCAACGUAAUGAGCGUCCGUCUGAAGACGCAAUUUAUAUAUUUUCCUUUGUGCUCGGCCCAAUUAACCACUUUGAGUUUUCUUAUUCAAUGCUUAAAGUGCUUCGCCGUUGCGGCUUCAGUUCCUCGCUUAAGACUUGUUGAAGCCUCUCUGAUGCUUACUUGAAGUACUCACCGUAGACGUAAUUAAUAUACUUGGUUUUCUUUUGUUUGUCGUACAGUAACCGCACUCUCUAAUGGUCAUUAUGUUGCAGUUUGUACUACCACUAACAUGUCACGUCCAGAACUGUCAUGUAAGCUAAAGGUAUAAAUUUAAUUUGUCUUUUUACAUAUAACCAUGCCUACCUAUCGUUACCGAUCAGCAUGACCGUCCUCGGUUCCACUACUGAGAACUUGCGAUGGACUCACCACAGCCGACGCAGACACAUUUCGCAAAUAUCCCCACACAGCCUAUUUAAGCUUUUUUUUUAUAGCGACCGUUGGUUUUUAUGGGUACACUUUGGACGCUAAAGAACCUAUAGAACGCCCUCGCCCUGGUACAAAUUGUCUAGCAUCAUGCUUUAGCUUUUUUGUAAAAUAUAGUCACGCUUAAAUAAGAUUGGCUGCGCAAUAAUGAUUAUAUUUCAAGCGUUCUGCAUGCCAUUUAGAUAUUAUAUAUUCAUACCUACUUGCAUAGUGCAGCGUACUUUAACACUACUCUGACGGUUACGGAACUUAUUUACAACAAGCCAACGCCUCCGGGCUCGUAGUGUAUUACCUGUGUACAGCUCUUUACGAUAACGGAUACUACAAUAUAAAAGUGACACACUGUCAACGCGCCACUUGAUCAAAGAAUGCUUGGAAGGUACAAUCAUAUUGUGCAACAAAUCUUGUAAGGUUAUUGUAAUAUUAAAGCAGCAACAAGAUUUGAUUUCGAGCAAUUUCGCCUUCCGUGUGUCUUAUUUUUGUUAUUUAAAUAAUACCGUAGCGAUUGAGAAACUACACACGCAUUUGUUUAAUUCACUAGAGGGUCAAUAUGAAUACAAUAUGGUAUAGUUACAUAUCAAAUAUCAAUAGGUAGAUCUCGGUACCUUUGCUCUUUGAUAUUACAAAAACUACUUCGGCGUUUUUUUCAGACGGCUGUGCAAUGAGGAUACUUUUCAGUGUCAGAUGUAUGAAUGUUCAUAAAGUGAUAGAGUUAGCAUUAACACUAUUAACAUAAAUAAAAUUCAUAAACCGUCAGAUAUUUCACAUAUAUUACUCUACAGACAAUUGUAGUGUUUUCAAAUAUACUUCUUUAAAUUAUUUCAAAUAUUUUUGACUGUUUAUGAAGUAGACGAUUUAGUUGUUGUCAUUCAAACAGUUUUUGCACAAUAUUAGAUAAACGGAAUAUAAGUAAAUUGCCUUCAGAGGACUUUCAUAUGACAUCAAAAUUGAAUUUAAAGAAUAGUAAGUACACUAUUACUGACAUAGCAAUUGUCUCAUUAUUACAAUAAUGAAGCUAACGAAAAUAGUUCCUUGAUAAAUGGCUGUUUAAACUUAGUUUUACAAACUGAAAACAUAAUACUACAAGGACGUAGUCAAUUCGUACGAAUAUUGUCGCAAAACUGUUCGAAUGUACACGUAACCACAAAUAAAUACUUAUGAAUUAUUUUUACACUUUUCAGUUACUGGACACCCUCCCGGUGUGCCAAGAUUUUAAUCGACAAGGAUGUACGAGACCUACCUGCAGAUUCGUUCAUAUUCGUGAAGGGUGCGGGCUGCAGGUGGUGGGGUGCCGCGUGGUGGUGUGCCGCGACGCCGCCGCUGGCACGUGCCGCCGCGCCGCUUGCCGCUAUUACCACAUCCCCGUGCAGCUGCCGCCCGCGCUGCGCCCCCCCUAACAUGCCCCCACCCGCACGCCGCCCUUCUCCCUCCCACGCCCUCACCCCACACCCAUUCCCACACCGCACGUCGCCCGCGCCCCUCGUUAUCCAUAUCGAUCGCGCCUCUGACACACUCGGGAAAGGCAGGUUUCUAUCGGCUGGCACUGUCGCUCCCGCGGCGGAGGUGAUGAUAUUAAGUGAGUUCGGUUAGUGCGAGCGGCGGAGGUGAGCCGCGUUGUCGGCGCGCCUCCGCCGCUCGCUCGUGUUUGACUUCGGGAAAGAGUGUGUACAUAAGUAGCGGGAUAUGAUUCUCAGGCACGGUCAUGCGAUUGUGAUAUGAAUAGAAUUCGAGACGCCGGAGCCGUUUGAAUGAUUUAUCGAGGUCGUACCGAGAUCGUCGAAUAGUAGUUAGUGAGGUUUCAAAUGUUUUAUUACUAUUGUAUAUUAUUUUUUUAAGAUACGAUAUGAGUUCCUGUAAAGAUCGACGCGGCCGCCUGUCGGGUCGUGUGAGAUUUGUUGUAUAUAAGCGAGGUAAUGUUCAGCUUCUGCCGAAGGCCGAGGCCGGAGUCAAAAGUUGCACCACCCCACUCCUACUGUGAGCAUUUUUGUGAGAAUUAUGUUAUUUUUUUAUUAUGUUGUAAAAUUAUGUUUUUAUAGAUGACAAGUUUUACACUAGAGUAGAUUAAGAUGAUCGAUAAUGAAACACCAAUAGUGUAGCCGCUUCUCUCCUUCGGCACUGAUACUUUUGACGCCGGAGCACAAUACGCGUUGUGGAGCGCCUCGUCCGCUCGGUUGUCGUUCCGUGCCGCGUCCUCCUACCCCCACUUAGAAUAGAUCACGACACUCGUAGAGUGAUAGUGGACUAACAAAUCGAAAUACAAUGAACGUUGUCGGACAAUAUUAAAACGAAGAAGGCAUACUUCCAUGCUAUUUACCUAAAUUAUAGGAUAGAACGUUGGCUUUUAUUCCAGAUAGAUUUUGCUAGAUAAUCAUUAUUUUCCCGAUCGAUCCCUGUCUAUCGAAGCACAAAUAGCGACCGACGAUCGAGUCCGAUCGACCCGUCAACUAGUCCAGAUAACAGAAAUAGCUCCCCUGUAUUGUUUUCGACAUGAACAGUAUUAACUUUUGAUCAAAUUUAUCUCGUCGUAUGUAUGUAGAGGUGAUAUGCGGAUAGAGGCAGGGGAGGCGCGCCGCGCGGGCCCGCCCGGCCGGCGCCGGCGCGCGCGGUGGCCGCCGGCGCCGUCCGGUCGCGGCGCGCGCGGCCGCUCUCUCGGGGCGAGGAAGCCCGAUGCCUGAUAUUAUUCCUAGUCCAUAUCCUUUUUGUUGAUCAGUCAUGCGAUUAAUGUUAGAAUAAAAAUAUUAAUAAUUUGAUUUAUUCCUCCCAUUUAGUGGAUAUUUUGAUAAUGAUAUAUUAAUAAUGAAAUAUUUAAGAUACAUAAUACAUAUUUGAUUCUAAAUCCUGAUAAAGUGACACUACAUUAGUAAUUUAGUCGGAGGGAUACUUGUGCCGUGAUUAUAUUUUUAGGUAUAUAUUAUGAAAUAAUUCCUAGCGUCGGAAUUAAAGAAGUGAUUAAUGUGUAAGUGCGUUAUAUUUAUUGUCGUAUAUCGUAAGUGAAAUGCCAUAUCGAUAAAAGAUGAAAAGCGGAGGGUGGAGUUAAACUCGUCGGGAAGAGGUUGCGUUUUGUUUGCGUUGGUUGUUAUUAUCGUCCGAGCCGCCGGCUGAAGGACAGUUCGCUUUUAUCAAUACGGCACUAUAUGACUCUUAAAUACAUAAGUUGUCUUUUUGUUUGUGUUAAAAUUUAUCGUUUCAUUGAUUAUUUGUUACCUUUAAUUUUUAUUAUCAAAAUUUUAUGAUCUGACGCAUUUAUUGUAAGACAAUCGAUUACUUUUAUAAUUAAUUAGUGUGAUAAUAAUUAUUAUGGUAUAAAAUUGCCGUUAUAAUAUUGAACAUCGAAAGUAUCCUUCCUCUUUAGAAGGGACUCUUCUGGCCCAAGGUUUCUAGUGGAUUUUAUAUUUUUCUUUUUGUUGUAUUUUUAAUGUUGCGGUGUGUCUUACACAUAAUAUAUUUCAUUUUGUGAUAUUUUUAACUAUAAAGUACUGUUAUUAUAAAUCCAAAUGGAAUAAUGAAGACCUAAUUAAUUAAAUAUUCAAGAAUUUAUUUGUAAAUCACAAAAAAAAAAAUGUAAAACUGUAAAUAUAUUAACAAAAAAAAAAAGUGAACUGCAACACAAUAAUUAUUGAUUAUAAUUAUAUCUCUCAUCAAGUACACUGUAAGUUCUUCGAUAUCUAAAUAAUGGUAUGUUAUUAUGUAGUAGGUACAGUCUACUAAAGGUAAACCGGUCCAGUGAACAAAGUAUUGAUAAUAUUGUGAACAUUUUUUUAUUCGCGAGCAAUCACAGAAAGUACAUGACAUUGUAAUAUUAUUUAUGAAAUUACUAUGUGAUGUGAUCUUCGGAUCAAUUUUGAGUACAGUAUAGAUAAUAAACAACUGAAUAUGUCA